GCAGCCGCGGUAAUACGUAGGUGGCAAGCGUUGUCCGGAAUUACUGGGUGUAAAGGGUGCGCAGGCGGGACUGCAAGUUGGAUGUGAAAUACCGAGGCUCAACCUCGGAGCGGCAUCCAAAACUGUAGUUCUUGAGUGAAGUAGAGGUAAGCGGAAUUCCGAGUGUAGCGGUGAAAUGCGUAGAUAUUCGGAGGAACACCAGUGGCGAAGGCGGCUUACUGGGCUUUAACUGACGCUGAGGCACGAAAGCAUGGGGAGCAAACAGGAUUAGAUACCCC
rnacentral:rRNA from 1 species